rnacentral:misc_RNA from 1 species
GAUGAAGAACGUAGUGAAAUGCGAUAAGUAGUGUGAAUUGCAGAAUUCAGUGAAUCAUCGAAUCUUUGAACGCACAUUGCGCCCCUUGGUAUUCCAUGGGGCAUGCCUGUUCGAGCGUCAUUUGUACCUUCAAGCUCUGCUUGGUGUUGGGUGUUUGUCUCGCCUCUGCGUGUAGACUCGCCUCAAAACAAAUGGCAGCCGGCGUAUUGAUUUCGGAGCGCAGUACAUCUCGCGCUUUGCACUCAUAACGACGACGUCCAAAAGUACAUUUUUACACUCUUGACCUCGGAUCAGGUAGGGAUACCCGCUGAACUUAAGCAUAUCAAUAAGCGGAGGA